rnacentral:rRNA from 1 species
GACGUAGGGGGCGAGCGUUGUCCGGAUUCACUGGGCGUAAAGCGCGCGUAGGCGGUCUCGUUAAGUCGGAUGUGAAAACCCGGGGCUCAACCCGGGCCUGCACCCGAUACUGGGCGGGCUGGAGGAAGGUAGGGGAGAGGUGGAAUUCCCGGUGUAGCGGUGAAAUGCGCAGAUAUCGGGAGGAACACCGGUGGCGAAGGCGGCUCUCUGGGCCUCGUCCGUGACGCGUGAGGCGCGAAAGCUA